UUUCGAAUCAUUCACAAUGGGCGCAAGCCUGAUGGUGCGACGCCGCGUGAGGGAUGAAGGUCUUCGGAUUGUAAACCUCUGUCACUGGGGAGAAAACGCUUUGAGUUAAUAGUUCAAAGCCUGAUUUAACCCGGAGAGGAAGCAGUGGCUAACUCUGUGCCAGCAGCCGCGGUAAUACAGAGACUGCAAGCGUUAUUCGGAUUCACUGGGCGUAAAGGGUGCGCAGGCGGCCGUGUGUGUAAGGUGUGAAAUCCCGGGGCUCAAACCCGGAACUGCGCCUUAAACUACAUGGCUAGAGUAUUGGAGAGGGUAGUGGAAUUCACGGUGUAGCAGUGAAAUGCGUAGAUAUCGUGAGGAACACCAGAGGCGAAGGCGACUACCUGGACAAUUACUGACGCUCAGGCACGAAAGCGUGGGGAGCAAAAGGG
rnacentral:rRNA from 1 species